AGUGAACGCUGGCGGUAGGCCUAACACAUGCAAGUCGAACGGCAGCACAGUAAGAGCUUGCUCUUACGGGUGGCGAGUGGCGGACGGGUGAGGAAUACAUCGGAAUCUACUUUUUCGUGGGGGGUAACGUAGGGAAACUUACGCUAAUACCGCAUACGACCUACGGGUGAAAGCAGGGGAUCUUCGGAUCUUGCGCGAUUGAAUGAGCCGAUGUCGGAUUAGCUAGUUGGCGGGGUAAAGGCCCACCAAGGCGACGAUCCGUAGCUGGUCUGAGAGGAUGAUCAGCCACACUGGAACUGAGACACGGUCCAGACUCCUACGGGAGGCAGCAGUGGGGAAUAUUGGACAAUGGGCGCAAGCCUGAUCCAGCCAUACCGCGUGGGUGAAGAAGGCCUUCGGGUUGUAAAGCCCUUUUGUUGGGAAAGAAAAGCAGCAGGUUAAUACCCCGCUGUUCUGACGGUACCCAAAGAAUAAGCACCGGCUAACUUCGUG
rnacentral:rRNA from 1 species